CUGUGCUGAACUAAAACGGGUAGAUGUGGAGCCUGAAUUGCCGUGAGGGAGGCGCAAAUGAGAGAGAGCUGGCAGUUUACGGAAGAGUCACUGAGCACAAGCACCUUCACAUCCAGUCUCUGUGGCACACCGUGUGUUUGAUGUCCUGCUUGGAGCAGCUGUUGCCGUGUAGCAGGUUAAUCUGUUUGAUUGGAAAGCUUUAGAAUUCACUUCCCAAAGAGCUCCUGGUGGCAAUCAGUACAAAAGUAAAAAUCACCCAAAUUGUCUCUCUCGAGGGCCUGACAUGAAUGAUAAACAUGCCCUGAAUUUUGCGUAUGUGAGACCACAGCAAGAAAGAGUGAAUAAGAGAAGUUAAGAAAUUUACAUUUUCUUGGAUGGACAGAGUUGGCAGCUAGCUCUAUAUGAGAAAGACUGAGAAUUCGUGAUUUGAUUAACUGUGGACAGAAGCCAGAGGAGGUGAGAAAGGAGGAACUGAGUGUUGCAGAAUCUGAGAGAAAAAGAUGUGAAAGUUAUGAAGAAAAGAAGACUCAGGGAAUGGUAUCCUUCAGCAUCAUGACUCAGAAGACACCUAAGCCAGUGCUAAUCUUUCCAAAUAUGUCAGGAAGGAGGUAAAGCAGAUUUUUCCAGACUCCAGUCAAGAGAUCAUUAUUAAUUUCCUCAGGGCACAAGGGCUAAUAGGAAGAGCUGUUGAUCUUCAAACCUGUUUCUGUAAAGUGUCUCUGGUCAGUGGCCUGCAGGAAUCAUACAAAGCAGCGAAUGAGGAUUCCUUCCAGUCUUAGCUUCACAGGAGCUUCACCCGUUUAGAAGUACCUAAUUCCCCUCCUCAGGGAUGCAAAUGAAAGAGAAGAGUGAAGAGUAACAUUAGGAAAGAUGGCAAUAGUGUCCUGAAAGAAAGAGAGAAACAUGCAGGAAACGCAAACGUGGUGGUGGCAAUGUAGCUGCCACCACUUCGCCGAUGCCUCAUUUCAGGAGUGAAGAGUUAGUCCACAAAAGGGAUAGAAACCACCCCAGAGAGAAAAAUCCAUGAAGAUGAUAUCUAUUAGGCUUUGAAGUAUGUGAAGGUUAUGGAGGUCUGCUACACCAAAUCCAUACAGAGCUUGAAUAUUUGCUAAUCAGAUGUUUGGUCCUUUUCACAAUAUUGGUGAGUAUUUAAAAUACAUCUAAUCCUGAAAAUACUGAAAUUCCUCAGAAACUGCUCACGAGUUUUCUAGGAUUAAAAAAAAAUCACUGUUUGAAUCUAGUUCCUCUCCUUGUGUUGUUCUAAUUGUAAAGGCAGUAAUGUUUCCAUCUUUUGAAUUUUUUUGUCACGAAGCUGACUGCAAGAGCCCUAAAAAAUAUUUUUUAAGUCUGGUAACUCUGAGUUACUGUAUAUGUUUUACUUUAACAGGCACAACUAUAACAAGGUGAAUAAUCCGCUGAAUAGAAAAGACCAUAAAAUGGUCCUAUGAACACCACUGUGCUCAUAUGAACAGACACAAAGCACAUAUUACACUGGGCAGAGUUUAAUCCAAACUGACUAUGAAAAGAGUUCCUCAGUUACAGGACUAGUCUUUAUUUUCCUGUGGUGUACUUCCUAUCUCAAUGUUAACAUAUUGCACAUUACCAAAUCACUUUCUCAUAAUUAAUCUGAUCAUAAUAAAGUGUUUGUUGUAAUUACCUGAAACUUUACCUUUCAGGUAGCAUUCCAUGUUCUUGGACACAUUGUGUCCAAACACAAAUUUGAACAGCUCCAUCUUUACAUCUGAGUUUUUUACUUGUCACUUAUUCGCAAAUAUUACUGAGUUAUUGAAGACAGUAAAGAAAUAUGGAAGGUACUGACAGCAGCCUUCAUCAGUAACCUGUCUGAACACAAAACAUAUGAAAAGAUACCACAGACAUUGUUAUCUUUAAGAGAGUGCUCAAACUGCUAGCACAUGAGUUUAAUGGAUGUGAAGAAUGUGAUCUGAGAUUUCUUUUGCAAUUAUUUCACCUCCAUGAUUGUAGUGGGGCCAAUCCAAAAACUAAUGGAGACACAUCUGUCUUUAUUAAAGAGAGUGGAAUAAAAUAAAACUAUGUUCAUUGAUAAAAUCAAAUUCCAUGCUUAUGAAAAUUAAUAAAGAAAACUCUAAGUAAAAAGUUCUUGAGUUCCAGCUUGGUUUGUUUCAUGUAUUUUCUU